rnacentral:lncRNA from 1 species
AGUCACUGGGCUCAUUGGAAUAUUCUCUUUUUAUUGACAUGAAACGUGUUUGCUGAGUCUGGCUGGCCAAGUGAUUCCACAGGGUGAAAAAGAAAAGGCAUUGAAAUAUUCAUCAGGAGAGCUACCCAGUUCCACCGCCAGUUUCCUAGGCAAUGCAUUAUGUAAACUCCUGUCAAACCUACACUUGUGCUGUGUGGUUGUCCUCCAAUUUCUGUAUUACUCAGGCUCCCAUGAGCAGCAGUUCAAGGAGUACAGGGAGGAGGAGCGGAAGAAGGGUGUUCUUGGGACAUCAACCCCAAGGCAGAGGAAAUGAAAGAUGAGUUUGACAACAUCAGGCUGCUUGGCUCAGAGAAAAUACAAGAUUGCUACAUUCCACAAGUUACUGAAUUUGGGGGAGCGCUGCAUUUGUCCUCUUGAAAUGAUCUGACUCAGCUUCUCUGAAUUUUGUUUUUUUAAAGAACAUAUUAUUCAUCAUUUUGUUCUUAUCUCUGUAGUACAAGGAUAUGGGAUUUGAAAUCACACCGAAGUGCAUUUGAAGCUCACUUGCGUGGUCUUGGAUAAGUUACUUAAACCUCCCUACCUUCAGUUUCCUUAUCUGGAAAACAGAAUACCAUGUUGACCUUGCAGGAUUGUUUAACAGAUUCUCCCUCUAGUUCAAGCUGCUCUCAUGGUGUUCUGUCUCUUACUUGUCCCCCAGUAUGCGUUCUUUCACUAGUAAAGCGUAAAUUCCACCAGGGCAGGUACCGUGUCUCUUUUCCUCACCAUGUGUACCCCCAG